GACACCAAGGGCUGAUGCUCUCAGCAAGGGCCCUAGGCGGCCUCUUGGUGUUGGAGAAUCGACUAGGGACAACUGCACACACGGGAUAGGGAGGCCUCUCGGUGCUCAGUAGGUGAAUCGCAUCUUCUGUGAAUAGCCCAGCUUAUCCAGGUUCGGGUGGCAGGCCAGCUGUACCAUAGGUGGUGGCCCACAAAGCAGCAGCAGCACAUCCUCUGCUGGGGCAGGCAGGUGCUCCUGGAUCAUGUCGGCGGUAACAAAGCCCUUGCUGUAGGUCCAGUCUGGAGGAUGGGGAAGAGAAGAAGACACAUGCUUCAGGUCCGCACCAGCAAGGGAAUGUGAUGCUUCCGGGACAGACCCUUGGGAAGACGCAGAAGGGAUCCCGAGAGGGCCUCAGGUUGGAGCAGCAACUACAGCCACACUCCUGCCACCCACCUGAAACUAGGAGCCUCAUGCAAAGGGGACGAGUUGUGCACCUGGAUUCGGGAUUCUGGCACUGUCGGGAGGAUCUGUUUUACUGAAACCAGAAGUCGAAGAGCGGCCAGGCCUUGAGUUUGAUAAUGAAAGACAACCUAGCCAUCUGGAAAUGGUCUGGCCUGACAAGUCCCUUGGAACAAUCCAACCACCUUGGAUGCUAUCCCUCAAACUAGAAGAACUUCCGUUCACUCUCCCGGCCCAGCCCCCUUCUUCACAACUCACCGUCUUGUCCAGCAAUCGCAGCAGGUACUUCUCAUCCGGGUCCUGGAGAGUGACCUGUGGCCGGCGGGAUCUUCGAACCAAGUAGGUACCCAGAGCCAGGCCGAACAGGGUAAACAGCCCCACCCCCAGAGAGGCUAGCAAGACCGGGCUCUGUGGGUAAAGGAGGAAGCGUGAUUGUCACGCUGAGGGAGAGCCAGGGAGUGGGUGCGGGACCAGGGGUGGCGAUCCCGAGCUCCAGCGAGAAAGCAUGCCAAAACUGCAGGAGCAGCAUACCCAGCCCGCAGCUGGUGCAGGGAGACUCCGGCACCCUAGGUGGGUUUAGCACAACCCCGCGGGGCAGACUGCCCAGAACCAGCGGAGGCGGUGACCCCAGGCUUAGGACACAGAACGAGGGUCUUACCGGCUGGAUCCCCAUGACUAGCGCCGUUCGGCUCCGCUAGGGCGGACAGAUCCCACAAUGCGCCGCGGGGCGGGCCCGGGGGCGGAGCUCUCCAGGGUGUGGUCUAAGGAGGAGGGCCCGACCGAGGCAGUGCUAGUGGGGACCGUGCCCCGCCUCUUCCGUACGGACUAGGUGGUUCAAGGGCAUGGGUAUCUUGGCAGUCCCAGCCCCUCCUUUCUAGCUUUCUGGUCUCUGCCACUUAGGCCUACCCCAAAGGACCACAGUUUUGUCUAACAUGGAGCCAGGCUAAUUAGCAUAAUGAGAAUUCUUCUAGCUGGUUUAAGAGUGUCACAGAAAGUCUGAGUGUUGAGCCUUACACAGAUUAAAGUAGAACAGGAAGCUUCCAGAUGGCAUUUCUUGUUUUUGUUCGUUUUUGUUUUUUUCUCCCAACAGUCUACUUUGCCAGACAAUUCAAACGCCUAGCUAAGUCUCUUUCCGGAAGAGUGACUGGGCAACUUCAUUUCCUAGUCCUUCAAACAAAACAACUGAUUUUGCUGACAGAGUUAGUUCAACAGAAUCAGUCAGGAGGGACUGGAGAGAUGGCUUUGCAGAUUGCUUACUGCUUUUGUGGAGGACCCUGGCUCCAUUCCCAGCACCCAUAUAGCCGCUUGAAACCGGCACCCUAGUUCUAGGGGUUCUGGUGCCCUCUUCUGGCUUCCUUGGGCACCACACACACACACAAACACACACACACACAGAGAGAGAGAGAGAGAGAGAGAGAGAGAGAGAGAGAGAGAGAGAGAGAGAGAGAAACACUUAUCCACAAAAUAAAAAUAAAUAAUAAAUAAAAUCAGGGGCUUCCUUUUGGUCCAAGUCGAGCUUCCCACCAAGUAUGGUUCCUCACCAAACACAACAGUAGUGUUACCCAAGAAUGGCUCUACCCCUUAGUGGCCUUGUGGCCUGGGGCAGACAGCUUGCUCCACUCCUUUGCAUUUGUUUAUCAAUAGGCGGCCAAUGUGCAUCAUAAUCGGGUGUUUGGCUCAUAGGGUUAUUCUGAUCCCUAGUGAGGUGUUCUUUCAUUUAGUGUAAUGCCUGUCAAAGAGCAAACUGCUAAAGAGAUAGCAGCUACGACUAGAACCCAGAAGCCAGCAACUCCAUUACGUCUAUGGACUCAGCUCUGCUGAGAUCACAAGCCUGAAACCGGAAGUAAUAGAGACAAGCCACUGGAGCUGCCCAUUUGCCAAGAUGACCAUGCUGUCUUGCACACAUUUCCCAGACAGAGUGUUAUUUCCUGUUUGGGAUACAGUGACGGAUGAAAGGUCCACACAUGUCACUAUCAACAUAAAAAUACGAGUCCCUUCAGGGUGGUAGGAACAAUGAUGUCUUGGUCCUCAGUCAAUUGUGAGUGAUCCAAGAAAGGCUUUGUUUUCUUUCUCUGGGCUAGCUGAAAAUGUCACUCAGAUCUGGGCACAUUCUUGUCAGGGAGGGAACGUGAGAUUGUGACAGGGCAUGGUAAAUUGCCCAACAAUGUACGGAAGGUUGAAAGAGGGAAGGGCGUGAAUCUCUUCCUGUCUAUUUUAAUUUUAAAUUAUCCGCAUUGUAUUUUAUGUGUGUGAAUGUAUUGCCUGUAUAUAUGCAUGUAUAUAUGUAUGUAUGUGUAUAUGUAUGUAUGUAUUUAUGUAUGUAUGUGUAUGCCUUGUGCCCAAAGAGGUCUGCAGAACUGGAGUUGCAGAUGACUGUAAGUCACCUGCCUGCGAAUUCAUGCGCCUCUUGCCUCUGCCUCUUCAGCAUAUCCUAUUGGCCUGCAUCACCACAACCAGCCUUCUUCCUUUUCUGUUUUGGGAGACCCCAUGGGAUUCUGUUCUGGAGCUUCUGCCUCCCCCGCCUUGCUGAAGCCAAGAAGCUAACCUGCUGACCUUUCUACUGCCCGGGUUCUGUCUAGAGAGGUCCCAGGUCCUCCUCAUCAUACCAGGUGGGAUGUGGCAGGAAAGAUUACUUCCCGUUCAAAGGGGCAUGCUGUUAGAGUUCAUCUCCAGGAACCACAGGGCCAGGUAUGUGAGACCGGCUUAACUUGGAUACUCUGUGGUCUCAACUGUCAUGUCACAGAGACAGGAAAAGCCUUUCAGGUAAGUAGACUAUAACCACAGAGGGCUGACAAAAACAGGCCAAUCUCCAUGCCUUUCGUGAGUUGCAGCCUAAUGUCACAUAUUAACAGCUGUAUAGCCCACAGGUCAUUCUGCAGGUCACUGCUCUGAUGGUAUAGCCCUGCUCCCCUUCUCUCCCUCCUCUGAAGGAGCCUUAAAAAGAGACAACUUGUAUCAUAUGGAAGGGGGAAGCUUUACUUCGAUAUCCACACAACGUCCUAUUGGAUUAAAGAAUAAUUUGACUUAGCACCUUAGUCUUCUUCAUUAUAGGGGAAAGCAGUUCAUCUCUCCAGUAGUGCAUCUUGCUCUUCUUCUCAAACUCUACAACCAAUCUUCACUAAUCUUGGUUUGAUCUUAAAUAUGUCCAGCAUCUAACCCCUCAUCCACUGCUUCUCCUCUGGCUAAAGCUCCACCAUUUCUUCUGUGCAUCAUCCUAACUGGAUUUCUAUCUCUUUCCUCCUUCAGUUACUUUAAUUGUAAUUAAUUAAUGUAAUGAUGUAAUGUAAUUCACUUUUUAGAGAGACACAGGGGGGAAGGGAGGAAAGGAGAGGGAGAGAAGGAGGGGGGAAAGGGGGAGGGAGAAGGGAGAGGGGGAGAGGGAGAAGAAGAGGGAGAGAGAGAGAGGCUGUGUAGCUAGCCUUGGGUGACCUGAAACACCAUGUAGACCAGGCUGGCCUUGGACUUCCUAGAGUGCUGAGGCUAGCUUUCUUCUGUGACUUUAGCCUAUUGUCCCACUCCUUGAUAGAAAACCUCCGCAGUGCCCCUGCAGCACACUCAUGUAGACGUCUACUGCCUCUGCUUCCGCCUCAGCAUAGGCUCCUGGGAGUAAGAAUCUGUUUACUGUCACAUCCUAAGUGCCUCGAACCGUAUGAAUAAUGAAAGAGGUAAGAAAGGGCUCUGGGGUAAAUACACAAAAGAAAAUGUAAUGGCUGCUGCUGUUAAGUGAAGAAGUCAAUGCCCUCCUGGAACACUAGGGAGCGCUGCUUAGCAGACACGCCAGACCUCCCUGGUGAAGCAGACAUUCCAGGCUUCAUGUGGCCACAGUGCCCCUUGCCCUGCGGUCCCAAGGGGAGGAAUGACUCACUGACGCUUGGGCGGAUGCUGCACACACAGAAGACCUGCAUCAUGGCUGAGACAUGCUAACCUAAGCUCUGAUUUUACAAGGGGACCACUGUCGAAUUUGUCCAACCUCUGCCUCACGGGGAGACAUGACCUUUAUUAUUCUGGUUAGGGAACAAAUGAUCUUCUCUAGGGAGGAAAGAGAAUUCUCCCAGAGCUGUAAUAUCACUGGUGAGACAGCCUCUAAACAAACCUGCCCUGUGCCCUGGAGAAGACAUUAGUUUAUAGCCUGUUUAUAGCCUGGGGGUGGGAUAGAGGGAUGGUUGGGUGUAGGGCAGAGGUUGGAGGUGGCUCAGUGGUAACAGUGUGGACUGCUCUUGCAGAGGACACAAGUUCAAGUUCUGUUUUCAAGCACCCAUGUCAGGUGGCUCACAGAUGCUCUUCACUCUUUUCCAGGGUGAUCUGAGGUCUCCAGACCCCUGCUGGGACAUGCACUCAUGUGAAUGUGCUGACACCAAUACACAGACACGUACAUACAGACACAUGAUUAAAAAUGCUUUUUAAAAUCUAAAUUAAAAAACUGGAUGCCUUUAAUCCUAGCACUCGGAGGCAGAGGCCGACAGAUGGAUCUCUAGGAGUUUGAAGCCACCCUGGUCUACAGAACAUGCACAGAGAGACCCUAUCUCGAAUACAAAAGCAAAAACUAAAUCUAAAUUUAAAAAAGUAAACUGAAAGAGACAGAGGGUUAGCAAGAUCUAGUGUAUGGUUUGGAGGGAGAGAGAGAGAGAGAGAGAGAGAGAGAGAGAGAGAGAGAGAGGGAGAGAGAGAGAGGGAGAGAGAGAGAGAGAGAGAGAGAGAGAAAGAGAGAGAGAGAGAGAGGUUGGAAGGCUGGGAUAGUGGGGAAGUGAGGGGAAUCUUCAAGACGAGAGAAGGGAAACCAUGAUCAGAAUACACUGUAUAAAUAAAAAAGCGGGCUGGAGAGAGGGCUCAGUGGUUAGAGCACGGACUGCUCUUCCAGAGGUCCUGAGUUCAAUUCCCAGUAACCACAUGGUGGCUCACAGCCAUCUGUAAUGGGAUCUGAUGCCCUCUUCUGGUGUGUCUGAGGACAGCAAUGGUGUACUCACAUAUAAUAAAUAAAUAAAUAUAUCUUUUUUUUUUUAAGUUAAAACAUUUUAUUUGAGAAAAGAGGACACCCGAACCCUGCCAUUCUCACGGGAGAGUCAGCGGCAACGUCCAGAUCCGGUGGAAUUAACUCAUUUUGAGAAAAGAGGACACCCGAACACUGCCAUUCUCGAGGGAGAGGCGGCGACAACGUUCAGAUCCAGUGGAACCUGGACAUGAAAACGGACUGAGAUUAAAGGCUUGCACCUGGACUGGAGAGAUGGCUCAGCAGUUAAGAGCACUGACUGCUCUUCCAGAGGUCCUGAGUUCAAAUUCCAGCAACCACAUGGCUCACAACCAUUUAUAAUGGGAUCCGAUGCCUUCGUCUGGUGUGUCUGAAGACAGCGACAGUCUACUCACAUCUAUAAAAUAAAUAAAUCUUAAAAAGAAAA